AAAAUAUUGCUGGGUGUGACACGUUUGUAGAUCCUAGACAUCUGGGGUAUCACAAUUAGAAACCCUUUGUGGACAUAUUUUCAUUAGUCAUAAAAAAGACAAGUCAUUUUUUCCUGUUUUCUCAAGAUUUCAAAGCUCUGCACUGUAUCCCUAAACAUGAGGAAAUGAGGCAACGGAGCAUUUGUCUGCAUCAGCACUAGGGACCAAACCUACAGCCUAUGAUUUCACUAAAUCUCCAUCUGGCAGGCUUUGUGUUCUUUGUAACAUGGAUGGCUGAGGAGAAGUUGUGGACAAGUUAACUGCAUGCAAAUCUGGAUCUUCACACAAGAUGGAAGGAGUCUGUCAUAACUGAAACAUAUUCAGUUAUUUUCUUCACAAAUGGCUGCUCUUGUCCUUUCUGAAGCAACUUAGGCUGUCUGCACAACUCAUAUGUGGAAGAAAAUCUCUGCUUUCAGUAUACAGCAUAAAGGCACCUUGAAGCCACAUGUAGAAGCUGCAGUGACACUUGCUGGAGAAGGCUGAGCUGAUUACUUUCUGCUUCAUGGGCUGCUGAGAUUCCAGGCACCAGAUUCUGAAUGGACUCUUCUUGGAUCACUUGGAGGAAAUUCUUAUUAAACAGGAUGUGCCUCUUCCUUAGGGUGACAGGUUAUAUACAGAGAUUUUUCAUCACAGUGAAAACUGCUUCAUUUGCUGCCAACCAUAUGUAAAGCAAGAAGAAAAGUCUGGCCUUACUGACUCCUGGGGACUGAAAGUGGAGACAAAAAGGAAACACAUACAUUAUAAAUGUUCUUUUUAAAACGUAGUUUUACAAGACUCAAAAUACGUGGAAUUGAAAAAUACAUUUAAAAACAAAAUAGUCAGGAAUGCAAGCAUGUGCUGUUUUGAAGAUGAUAUUUUGAAGGUCGAUUGGUGUAUUUUAAGCCUAGAAGUCUUAUAUUCUGCAUAUUACAAAUAGACAGUCUUUUAUGAAUCCACUCAUGCCUUAAGUCCAAAUACAUUCAGUGUCAACAACAGAUCCCAUACACCCAAUGACCUGAAGAUUAGGUUGGUUUGGGAAAAAAAAAAAGGUAAAUUUUUAUAGCAGUUUUUAGACGGGUCUUUCCAUUGUCCCGAGUGUCUAAAAUAACCAUUUUUUUUCCCAAAAAAAAGUCCAACCUGAUCUCAAACAUUUAUGAUAAUGUUGGUUUUUAAAUGUAUUCAUUUGAUAUAUUUAUGACCUGUCAUUGUUAGUGAUGUGGCCAUUAGUGGGCUGAGGCUUUCAUUUCUGAGUAUAACCUCUUUGUUGUGGUAUAUAAGGAUUAAUUUUAUUAUAUAGUACCACCAACGGUAGAGGCCUCUAAUUGUCUAUCUUGAGAUUUUUUAUCUGGGGUUUAAAGGCUUGCUAUAAACUUAUCCUGCAGUGUAGAGGAAACACAUGGCAAAGGAUAAAAAGCAGAUCGUCUACUUGGGCUUGAGAGUGUUGUGUGAUCUUCCUUUUUUUUAUAUUUUGACCGGAUAUUACUUGUUUGGUUGGAUGUGAAGUGUGGCAAACUUGAAAAAUGAAGUAAAUCUUGCCUUGAGGCAGAAAAAAUGCUAAAGAAGCUUUUAGGUCAAACUAUCAGUUUUACAGCAAUAGUUUUGUAUAUUUGUGUAUAUUCUGGAGUAUUCUUAUGUACUCUUCUAUUACUUUUUCUUUCUUUUUUUUUUUUUAAUAAGAAGUGAAAAUACAUAUAAGCUUGUGCAGAUUCUGAUGCAAAAUCACCUUGUUUCCUAGUUUUUAGACUUUUUCUUUGUUAAGGAAGUGCACUGGGCAAGAUUCAUACAAACCUGAAAGAUCUAAUACUGACCACCAGAAGAGCUGGCUGCAUGAAACUUGUUUUAUUAAACUCUGUGGUGAAUUUUUGUGCUUAUGCCAUGCUAUUGAUGUGCAGCAUUAUUUACGCUGUGCUGUUUGAAUAUUUCAUGACACUGCUAAUGCCUAUAAUGACAAUUCUUGCAGUGACACUACAUCUCAGCAAGACUCAGGGAUGCUAGGAGAUCUGUCUCCUGAGUAGUCAUUUGCAGCUUAGCCUGGGUGCAUAUCAGGUCCUGGUACCAUAUGACAAGAGGGCUACUUCAUCCUAUAAGGAGGGCUUCUACAGAAUUACACCACUGGCAGGUCCCCUUUCAUGACUCUCAAGAUCCCCUGUGCUGCUGCUUCUGUGAUCCUUCUGAGCCCCACAGAGUCCACAUGCAACAACUUUGCUCUGUUCAGUCGUUCUGUUAGACAAAAAGUGAUUUUUUUUGUUUUGUUUUCACUGGUUCAGUUUCACAAAAAGUGGAAAAGAGUAAGGUGGCAUUCUGGGCAGCAGGACCCCAUCUCCCCACCUUUGAUGCAGAUACUGUAUGGAAGCAGGGACACUGUGGGACUAAGGGUGUGGCUCAGGAUCAGGCAAUGCUGAGCAGCAAACGCUCUUUCAAAGUCAGCCCUGUAACACUCGUAUUUUGGGUUAUGCGUGCAUUGCAGUUGGUCUAGUGCUUGCUGUAUCUUGCUACUCUCUAUCCCACCUCCCAGUUCUGAAAAGUGAAACCCUCUGUACCCUCUAUACAAGGGAUUCUACAAAUAUGUUGCAAGUCACCCUGCAAAACUAAUACAUUUCCUUCUUUGCCAUAAUUUGGUACUAAUCUUGUCAUCCAGGUCAAAAAUCUGUCUGUCUUUCUCACAGGAUCAAUGCAAGCCAUUGGGAUGAAGGUCCUACACAUCAAAGAAGGUAAACCCUGCAACAGACUCUCAGCUUCACAUGAAGUAAUGGAUGUAUACAAUAAACUUUUAUACAAGAACAUCUGCACUUGCGAUUGCACAAAGAUCUCACUUCACAGAGAGGCCCAACAAACGAGAAGUAAAAGCCUUUUCAGAGACAAGGCACAAACCUGUUUCACUAACUUCACUGGGAGAUGGCACUUGCCUCCAACACACACACACACAAAAAAAAAAAUGCGGGGGUGGAUUUGAACCUGAGAUAGCAAGUGGUUUAAGUUACCUCUGUUUAUUUCACUCUUACAGCACUAUUCUCCUAUGAUCUGUACCUAAGAUAAAUUGUUCUUCUGUGGGUUUGUUACUUAUCUUAACAGUAUUUCUCAAAAAAAGUAAAGGUCAUUUAGGAGACAAUAAAAUGUAUCAAUUCAAAUCAC